UUGUGAGGUUAAGCGACUAAGCGUACACGGUGGAUGCCCUGGCAGUCAGAGGCGAUGAAGGGCGUGCUAAUCUGCGAUAAGCGCCGGUAAGGUGAUAUGAACCGUUAUAACCGGCGAUACCCGAAUGGGGAAACCCAGUGUGAUUCGUCACACUAUCAUUAACUGAAUCCAUAGGUUAAUGAGGCGAACCGGGGGAACUGAAACAUCUAAGUACCCCGAGGAAAAGAAAUCAACCGAGAUUCCCCCAGUAGCGGCGAGCGAACGGGGAGGAGCCCAGAGCCUGAAUCAGCAUGUGUGUUAGUGGAAGCGUCUGGAAAGGCGCGCGAUACAGGGUGACAGCCCCGUACACAAAAGCGCAUGUGCUGUGAGCUCGAUGAGUAGGGCGGGACACGUGGUAUCCUGUCUGAAUAUGGGGGGACCAUCCUCCAAGGCUAAAUACUCCUGACUGACCGAUAGUGAACCAGUACCGUGAGGGAAAGGCGAAAAGAACCCCGGCGAGGGGAGUGAAAAAGAACCUGAAACCGUGUACGUACAAGCAGUGGGAGCAC
rnacentral:rRNA from 1 species